UCUGGAAACUCAGCGCUGUGGGUUGGGCAGGAGGGCUGCGCAGAGCCACGCGGGGGGUGAGGACACGGGGACGCAGCCUCCGAGGGACACCGCGAGUCCGCACAGCUGCCCGGACCGUGGGCGCAGCGUCCAGGUUUAUGGGGAGCCGCAAGCUCGGCCCCUCCCCGCUCGCUCAGCGACUCCAGGAAAAAGCUGGGAAAACCCAAAGCGUGCAGGGUCCUAAGCGGGGCUGCCCGCCUCUCCGCAGCACGGCCCCUGCGCUGCGAUGCUCAGCCCCGACCCGCAGCCCCACGGCACCCGUCCAGCCCCGUGCAGAUAGCGCACGGGCAAAGAAAGGAGAGCUGCAGAAACUUGUCGGGACGUCUCCAGUGGUGAAGCAGGCCGCUGCAGGGCAUGCCGAAGAUUAGGAAUAUGGUCUGCAUCCAUGAGGGAUCAGGACAGCACUGUGCAUGGCACACACCUCUCUCCUUAAUUUUCCUUAGGGCAGGACUUGGCACAGGACAGGGAGUUUGGAAGCGCACACUGUUCACAGAACACAGAUCCAGCCUUUUCAUUCCCCAAAGCAGCAACAGGCAGAAUCAGCCCCAUGCCUGAAAACUACACCCAGCUGAGCAGCACCAGAUAAAAAUGUCCACGCAUGGCAGAGGAUAUGUUCCCCAUGGCUACAUCACGCUAAUGCUGCAGACUUCUGGAGAACUGGGUCUCCAAAGCAGAUGCUGGCUGAUAAGCCUCAUGCCUUUGUGCGAGGUCAACCUGGAGCAAGGGAAUGCUGUCCUGGUCAGCCACAGCAUCACCCUUGCAGGGAUGCCACAGCCACAUUUACAGCGAGCUUCAAUGACUGUCUGUGCUGGAGGAGGUCACCCCUAGAAAUGCCUAGCCACGUCUCAUUUGCAGGAGCUGUAAACCUGCCACCUGGCUGGUGGCUUUAUUGCUUUGGAUGAUGCUGGUGUCAAAGAAAUUUGGUGCGGGAGCCAAUUGGAACACAGUCAGUUUUAUAUUUAAUCUUUGCUAUAAACGCAAAUAAAGGUUCUGUAUUUUGA